CGGGAGCCCCCACCCGAUGCGGUCAGGGGAGCGGGAGCCCCCCACCCGGUGCGGUCAGGGGAGCGGGAUUCUCGGGGAGAUUCACGGGGAGCCGCCACAUCUCGGACACGCAGGGAACACAGAUAAGCCCUGGCUGGAUGCAGAGAACAUCAGAGCCCGUGUACCAGACCCCGGAGUUGAAGAAGUGAAUGCAACAGCGUCAAGCCAAGGAGUCCACGUGCGCCUUCCUAGGACAGACACUGAGUGUUAACCAUGUGCCGUGAAACCAAACGUGACGCCCUGUGCGGUGUGGGACUUAGUAGCUGCCGGGAGAGGAAGAAAUAAAUGUGGGCGUCGUCAUG